UACAGAGGGGGCAAGCGUUAUUCGGAAUUAUUGGGCGUAAAGGGCGCGUAGGCGGCCAUGCGUGUCUUCCGUGAAAUCCCUCGGCUUAACUGAGGACGUGCGGAAGAAACUGCAAGGCUCGAGUCCGGGAGAGGAGGGUGGAAUUCCCAGUGUAGCGGUGAAAUGCGUAGAUAUUGGGAGGAACACCGGUGGCGAAGGCGGCCCUCUGGACCGGUACUGACGCUGAUGCGCGAAAGCGUGGGUAGCAAACGGG
rnacentral:rRNA from 1 species